rnacentral:rRNA from 1 species
UGGCGGACGGGUGAGUAAUGUCUGGGAAACUGCCUGAUGGAGGGGGAUAACUACUGGAAACGGUAGCUAAUACCGCAUAACGUCGCAAGACCAAAGAGGGGGACCUUAGGGCCUCUUGCCAUCGGAUGUGCCCAGAUGGGAUUAGCUAGUAGGUGGGGUAACGGCUCACCUAGGCGACGAUCCCUAGCUGGUCUGAGGGGAUGACCAGCCACACUGGAACUGAGACACGGUCCAG